rnacentral:rRNA from 1 species
AAUCAACGCUGGCGGCGUGCCUCAGACAUGCAAGUCGAACGAUUAAGACUCCCUUCGGGGAGUGCAUAAAGUGGCGCACGGGUGAGUAACACGUAAGUAAUCUACCUUCGAGUGGGGAAUAACGUCCGGAAACGGGCGCUAAUACCGCAUAACGCAGCGGCAUCGCAAGAUGACAGUUGUUAAAGGGGCAAUCCGCUUGAAGAGGAGCUUGCGGCAGAUUAGCUAGUUGGUAAGGUAACGGCUUACCAAGGCUACGAUCUGUAUCCGGCCUGAGAGGGCGGUCGGACACACUGACACUGAAUAACGGGUCAGACUCCUACGGGAGGCAGCAGUCGGGAAUUUUGGGCAAUGGGCGAAAGCCUGACCCAGCAACGCCGCGUGAGGGAUGAAGUAUUUCGGUAUGUAAACCUCGAAAGAAUAGGAAGAAUGAAUGACGGUACUAUUUAUAAGCUCCGGCUAACUACGUGCCAGCAGCCGCGGUAAAAC